rnacentral:rRNA from 1 species
AUGAACGCUAGCUACAGGCUUAACACAUGCAAGUCGAGGGGCAGCAUUUCAGUUUGCUUGCAAACUGGAGAUGGCGACCGGCGCACGGGUGAGUAACACGUAUCCAACCUGCCGAUAACUCGGGGAUAGCCUUUCGAAAGAAAGAUUAAUACCCGAUGGUAUAAUCAGACCGCAUGGUCUUGUUAUUAAAGAAUUUCGGUUAUCGAUGGAGAUGCGUUCCAUUAGGCAGUUGGUGAGGUAACGGCUCACCAAACCUUCGAUGGAUAGGGGUUCUGAGAGGAAGGUCCCCCACAUUGGAACUGAGACACGGUCCAAACUCCUACGGGAGGCAGCAGUGAGGAAUAUUGGUCAAUGGGCGCAGGCCUGAACCAGCCAAGUAGCGUGAAGGAUGACUGCCCUAUGGGUUGUAAACUUCUUUUAUAUGGGAAUAAAGUUUUCCACGUGUGGAAUUUUGUAUGUACCAUAUGAAUAAGGAUCGGCUAACUCCGUGCCAGCAGCCGCGGUAAUACGGAGGAUCCGAGCGUUAUCCGGAUUUAUUGGGUUUAAAGGGAGCGUAGGUGGACAGUUAAGUCAGUUGUGAAAGUUUGCGGCUCAACCGUAAAAUUGCAGUUGAUACUGGCUGUCUUGAGUACAGUAGAGGUGGGCGGAAUUCGUGGUGUAGCGGUGAAAUGCUUAGAUAUCACGAAGAACUCCGAUUGCGAAGGCAGCUCACUGGACUGCAACUGACACUGAUGCUCGAAAGUGUGGGUAUCAAACAGGAUUAGAUACCCUGGUAGUCCACACAGUAAACGAUGAAUACUCGCUGUUUGCGAUAUACAGUAAGCGGCCAAGCGAAAGCAUUAAGUAUUCCACCUGGGGAGUACGCCGGCAACGGUGAAACUCAAAGGAAUUGACGGGGGCCCGCACAAGCGGAGGAACAUGUGGUUUAAUUCGAUGAUACGCGAGGAACCUUACCCGGGCUUAAAUUGCAUUUGAAUAUAUUGGAAACAGUAUAGCCGUAAGGCAAAUGUGAAGGUGCUGCAUGGUUGUCGUCAGCUCGUGCCGUGAGGUGUCGGCUUAAGUGCCAUAACGAGCGCGACCCUUAUCUUUAGUUACUAACAGGUCAUGCUGAGGACUCUAGAGAGACUGCCGUCGUAAGAUGUGAGGAAGGUGGGGAUGACGUCAAAUCAGCACGGCCCUUACGUCCGGGGCUACACACGUGUUACAAUGGGGGGUACAGAAGGCAGCUACCUGGUGACAGGAUGCUAAUCCCAAAAGCCUCUCUCAGUUCGGAUCGAAGUCUGCAACCCGACUUCGUGAAGCUGGAUUCGCUAGUAAUCGCGCAUCAGCCAUGGCGCGGUGAAUACGUUCCCGGGCCUUGUACACACCGCCCGUCAAGCCAUGAAAGCCGGGGGUACCUGAAGUACGUAACCGCAAGGAGCGUCCUAGGGUAAAACUGGUAAUUGGG